CCUACGGGCGGCAGCAGUGAGGAAUAUUGGUCAAUGGGCUUACGCCUGAACCAGCCAAGUCGCGUGAGGGAAGACUGCCCUAUGGGUUGUAAACCUCUUUUGUCAGGGAGCAACGCCGGCUACGUGUAGCCUGUCUGAGAGUACCUGAAGAAAAAGCCUCGGCUAACCCCGGGCCAGCAGCCGCGGUAAUACGGAGGAUGCGAGCGUUCUCCGGAUUUAUUGGGUUUAAAGGGUGCGUAGGCGGAAUGCGAAGUCAGCGGUAAAAUCGCGGGGCUCAACCUCGCUCCGCCGUUGAAACUGGCGUUCUGGAGUGGGCGAGAGGUAUGCGGAAUGCGUGGUGUAGCGGUGAAAUGCAUAGAUAUCACGCAGAACUCCGAUUGCGAAGGCAGCAUACCGGCGCCCAACUGACGCUGAGGCACGAAAGCGUGGGUAUCGAACAGGAUUAGAUACCCGAGUAGUC
rnacentral:rRNA from 1 species